rnacentral:rRNA from 1 species
AGAGUUUGAUCCUGGCUCAGGAUGAACGCUGGCGGCGUGCUUAACACAUGCAAGUCGAACGGAGUAUAAGAAGCUUGCUUCUUAUACUUAGUGGCGGACGGGUGAGUAACGCGUGGGUAACCUGCCUCAUACAGGGGGAUAACAAUUGGAAACGAUUGCUAAUACCGCAUAAGCACACAGUGCCGCAUGGUACAGUGUGA